rnacentral:rRNA from 1 species
CAGUAGCCGCGGAAUACGAAGGGGGCUAGCGUUGCUCGGAAUGACUGGGCGUAAAGGGCGCGUAGGCGGAUUGUUUAGUUAGGCGUGAAAUUCCUGGGCUUAACCUGGGGACUGCGCUUAAUACAGGCAGUCUAGAGUGAGGAAGAGGGUUGUGGAAUUCCCAGUGUAGAGGUGAAAUUCGUAGAUAUUGGGAAGAACACCGGUGGCGAAGGCGGCAACCUGGUCCUUGACUGACGCUGAGGCGCGAAAGCGUGGGGAGCAAACAGGAUUAGAUACCCCUGUAGUCCCUGUCUCUUAUACA